GACGAACGCUGGCGGCGUGCUUAACACAUGCAAGUCGAACGGUAAGGCCCUUCGGGGUACACGAGUGGCGAACGGGUGAGUAACACGUGGGUGAUCUGCCCUGCACUUCGGGAUAAGCCUGGGAAACUGGGUCUAAUACCGGAUAGGACUCCGGACUGCAUGGUCGGGGGUGGAAAGCUUUUGCGGUGUGGGAUGGGCCCGCGGCCUAUCAGCUUGUUGGUGGGGUGAUGGCCUACCAAGGCGACGAUGGGUAGCCGGCCUGAGAGGGUGACCGGCCACACUGGGACUGAGAUACGGCCCAGACUCCUACGGGAGGCAGCAGCGGGGAAUAUUGCACAAUGGGCGCAAGCCUGAUGCAGCGACGCCGCGUGAGGGAUGACGGCCUUCGGGUUGUAAACCUCUUUCAGCAUCGACGAAGCGAAAGUGACGGUAGGUGCAGAAGAAGGACCGGCCAACUACGUGCCAGCAGCCGCCGUAA
rnacentral:rRNA from 1 species